rnacentral:rRNA from 1 species
UCCGUAGGCGGAUUUUUAAGUCAGUGGUGAAAGCCUGCAGCUCAACUGCAGAACUGCCAUUGAUACUGGAAAUCUUGAGUGUAUUUGAAGUGGGCGGAAUGUGUCAUGUAGCGGUGAAAUGCAUAGAUAUGACACAGAACACCGAUUGCGAAGGCAGCUCACUAAACUACAACUGACGCUGAGGGACGAAAGCGUGGGGAGCGAACAGGAUUAGAUACCCUGGUAGUCC